UACGAAAGGGGCUAGCGUUGCUCGGAAUUACUGGGCGUAAAGCGCACGUAGGCGGCGUUGGAAGAUGGGGGUGAAAUCCCUGGGCUCAACCCAGGAACUGCCUUCAUGACUGCAAAGCUCGAGGAUGUGAGAGGUUGGCGGAAUUCCGAGUGUAGAGGUGAAAUUCGUAGAUAUUCGGAAGAACACCGGUGGCGAAGGCGGCCAACUGGCACAUUUCUGACGCUGAGGUGAGAAAGCGUGGGGAGCAAACAGG
rnacentral:rRNA from 1 species